GACGAACGCUGGCGGCGUGCUUAACACAUGCAAGUCGAACGAUGAAGUUCCUUCGGGAAUGGAUUAGUGGCGAACGGGUGAGGAACACGUGAGAAACCUGCCUUUCAUUUUGGGAUAACUCCGGGAAACCGGGGCUAAAACCGAAUACUCCGUCUCGGCGGCAUCGCUGAGCCGGGAAAAAAUUUUGAUGCAAGAGGGGCUCGCGGCCUAUCAGCUAGUUGGUGAGGGAAUGGCUAACAAAGGAAACGGCGGGUAGCCGGCCUGAGAGGGCGAGCGGCCACACUGGGAUGGAGACACGGCCAAGACGCCUACGGGAGGCAGCAGUGGGGAAUAUUGGGCAAUGGGCGCAAGCCUGACCCAGCGACGCCGCGUGAGGGAUGAAGGCCUUCGGGUUGUAAACCUAUUUCAGUAGGGAAGAAGCGAAAGUGACGGUACCUAAAGAAGAAGCACCGGCUAACUAUGUGCCAGCCGCCGCAGUAA
rnacentral:rRNA from 1 species